CCCAUGCCUAGUUGCACGAGUUCAGACUCGUAGCAUAUAGCUCAGUAACACGUGGCCAAACUACCCUACAGACCGCAAUAACCUCGGGAAACUGAGGCCAAUAGCGGAUAUAACUCUCAUGCUGGAGUGCCGAGAGUUAGAAACGUUCCGGCGCUGUAGGAUGUGGCUGCGGCCGAUUAGGUAGAUGGUGGGGUAACGGCCCACCAUGCCGAUAAUCGGUACAGGUUGUGAGAGCAAGAGCCUGGAGACGGUAUCUGAGACAAGAUACCGGGCCCUACGGGGCGCAGCAGGCGCGAAACCUUUACACUGCACGACAGUGCGAUAGGGGGACUCCGAGUGUGAGGGCAUAUAGCCCUCGCUUUUCUGAACCGUAAGGUGGUUCAGGAACAAGGACUGGGCAAGACCGGUGCCAGCCGCCGCGGUAAUACCGGCAGUCCAAGUGAUGGCCGAUAUUAUUGGGCCUAAAGCGUCCGUAGCUUGCUGUGUAAGUCCAUUGGGAAAUCGACCAGCUCAACUGGUCGGCGUCCGGUGGAAACUACACAGCUUGGGGCCGAGAGACUCGACGGGUACGUCCGGGGUAGGAGUGAAAUCCUGUAAUCCUGGACGGACCACCAAUGGGGAAACCACGUUGAGAGACCGGACCCGACAGUGAGGGACGAAAGCUAGGGUCUCGAACCGGAUUAGAUACCCGGGUAGUCCU
rnacentral:rRNA from 1 species